rnacentral:lncRNA from 1 species
AUGUGGGCCGAUCCGGAAUCAACGCAAAAAAAAAGCGCCUCCACACCAUCGCCGCCCCAAUCCACCCUCGCGCCUCCCCACAUACCCACCAGCGCCUCCUCUCACGCCCGUACCCACGCCCUAAAAACGCCCCGCCCCCGCCGCCACGCCGACACCGCCGCGCCGCUCCGCCGCCCCUAUCACACCUGCCGCUGCCGCUCCGCCGCCCCUCUCACGCCUGCCGCCGCCGCUCCGCCGCCGCCCUUCGUGCCGCUCGGGAGGAGUUGCGACGGGGUCGAGCCCCUCAUCGCCGACCACCUUUCUUCGCUCGCAGCCGCCGUCGUAGCAUUAAUGAGCCGAGCAAAUUUCUAUUGCAGAUUUGGCCUGAUUCUGAAAAAGACUGAAAUGAAAGAGUUUGUUGGGGGCGCCGCACCAUCAAGUACAACAUCAGACCCUCUUGUUGAUAUAACAAAUACAAAUGGUCUCGGUUUCACUAAUAGACGGGGCAAGGGUAGAGCCAAGUCGUUAUGUGUUGUUCGAAGAAACGACAAAGAGUGUCACGGCUCUAAAGAAAACUGUGACAACUCUGAACAGAACACUCCAAUAGCUUCAAAUGUUGUGCAUCCUAUUGUCACGCCUAAUAGUCAGCCAUUUGCGGAUGACCGCGAUGCAUCCUUCAGUACACCAAGCAAUUUGCCUAUGUGCACAGGUGCGCAUGGAGAUGUUACUAACCUUACCCAUGCUGAAGUUGCAAGAAAGCAUGCUAGAAACUGGUACGCAUCAUUGACCCAGGAGCAAAAGGAUGAGAGGAACAAGAAGGACCAUGAGAGAAGAAAACGGAAGAAGGAGGAAAGUCAAGUUUUAAAGUCUGCAACCAAUAGUGGUGUAGCCCCACUUGGCAAGCUUUCCAAUAUAAGUGCUGUUGAUUUAAUGACAUGCCAAUUGGAAGUGAACGAUUCUUCUACGUUGCAUAAAGAACGAAGUGAUGCUUCCCAUCUUAAUAUCACACCCAGACGUCUCCCAUUUACAAUCAUCAACAAUGUAGCUCACUAUGGUCCAAAUGAAGUUCCAAUGAGCUGCGUAAUUCAAACAACCCAAAACAGAGACGUCAAGUUGCGUAAUGCAACUCUUACACCGGAGCAGAAGCAAGCUAAGGUCGAUCGACAGAGAACAAGACGUCAAGCACUAACCAAUGAACAGAGACUAGAGAUGAAUGAUUGCCGUAGGGUUGCAAGGCAAACUCUGCCGAAUGUGGAAAUACAUGAUAUGAAUGCUCGCCAGCGAUCAAGACGACAAAGUGUUACUCCUGGAGAACGGUCUGCUCAUCUGGCACGACGUAAUGAACUGUAUGCAACUAGGCGUGACAAACCAUGCGCUCAAUCGAUUGCAUUGGAGUGCCCUGAGGAUUGUAGCUCAUCGUUGCUAAAUCCAACGCCUUCCUUUGAAACAACCGGUGAUGUGCCAGCUACAUCGAGCCUGCAAACUGAACUUGCUGCAGAUCAUCUUGCACGAUCGUCUAACUUUGAUGAU